rnacentral:rRNA from 1 species
UUGUGCCUACGGGGCGCAGCAGUGGGGAAUAUUGCACAAUGGGGGAAACCCUGAUGCAGCGACGCCGCGUAAGCGAUGAAGUAUCUCGGUAUGUAAAGCUCUCUCAGCAGGGAAGAAAGUGACAGUACCUGACUAAGAAGCCCCGGCUAACUACGUGCCAGCAGCCGCGGUAAUACGUAGGGGGCAAGCGUUAUCCGGAUUCACUGGGCGUAAAGGGAGCGCAGGCGGCACGGCAAGUCUGGUGUGAAAACCCGGGGCUCAACCCCGGGACUGCAUUGGAAACUGCCGGACUG